AAAAAGGCAAACCCUGAGUUUUCGUGUCCAACUUUCACUGUCCGUCUUAUAUAAAAUUUUUUUAUAAUUCGUAUUUUCAUUGUUGUUAGAUGAUAAAACAUGAUUAAUAUUUUAUACGUGACUUGUCUUUUUAAUUUUUUUUCAUAUUUUUUUCAAAUAAGACGGACGGUCAAAUAUUGGACACGGAAACCAGAGUUUGUCUUUUUU
rfam:Oryza nivara chromosome 4, whole genome shotgun sequence.